AAAAGGAAAGGGAGGACUAGGAGAGGGUUUGGGAGAAUUGAGGAGCCGCAGCCAGGACUUCGUCAAGAAUCGAAGGAAGUUGAUUUCGUGAAGAAGCUUGGCAGAAAUCUGGGAAUCGUCCAUGGACGGUAAACAAAUUUUUGUGGCUCAAAUCUCGUUCUAUGUUGAGGCUAAAAUCACGAAAAAAUACCAAGAUGUAGUCCUCAACCCGAUCUAGAACUUUGUCGAAGGAACUAUAUCGAUCCGAGCUCCGGAUCAAAAGAUAUGAAAAUCGGAAAACGGUGGAUUGGAAAAAGGCUACGGAUUGCAGGAGAGAGAAAAGAAAAAAAAACAGAAGAGGCGGCGGAGCGCGGCUUAGCAGGCGGCGACAUGCGUCGAGUGUCAGCUAGAGCAACGCAGCUCCAGCGGAAUGAUGAAACAAGUCACCAACAGAAACCAGGCCAAACCGCAGCGAACCGGACCGCUGGCCGAGUCGAGCCGACCCGCGACUGCGUGAAGCAGUCUGUGCAUGCAGCUUGCGACUGGCGUCCUUUCCCGCGUGUUGCUGGGACCUAAUCGAGGAUAAUCAGUAUUUUUGGACACCCUACGAGCGUAAAGGCGUUAGCGAAAUGGCACGCGUCAACCAGAUAAGUCACCACCCGGUAUUUAGGAAGAAAUGCUUGUAGGAUUCGCUUGGAUUGCAUGCAUGCUAGUAUAUUUGCCUUAGAUUAGCUUUCCAUGAAUGAGGUUAGGCAGGACGAUUGGUACGGGCGUAUUGGAGAAUUAUCUGGGUGUUGCUUGUAUGUUUUAAGCUUCCGCUAUAUGUAUGCAUAUGUUUAAUUCAUGUCGAAAUUGUGAACUCUGCGUUUCGGGUGCCCGAGGGAUGACGUCGCCCCUUGAGCGCAAACUCCGUGUUCCGAGUGCUUGAUGUAGACCAUCGUCCCGUGACACAUGCGUGUCUAGUUUGCAUGAGUUAUGUAUGAUGAUGCUAGUCAACGACUGCAUGCACACUCUGUUAUUUUCCAUGACCCAUUACUACGAUAAGCCUACCUAACAGAUUACCACGACGAACAAGUACCUUGAGUGUUCUUAGCCUGCUAGUUGUCUUCUUACUGCUCCUGGCCAUUUUGCAUGGAAAAUGUGUCCCCACGUCGUACAGCCCGUUAGCUGCACAGGAAUGGUUGCGUUGGGUUAGGUCGUGCCCCCUCUACCGGGACUAUAUGGGCUUAGGAGUUAUUCAACACACCCUGGGUUAGAUACCAUGUAGUAUCAGAUAGCCAUGUAGAGGUAGCGCCUUAUAGAGAGAAGCCGACCAUGUCAGCUUAGCAUUAAGAACCCUUAGGUAUGAAAUGAGAGGAGGGAGAACUAGUGAAACCAAGGAGCAAGCUCUAAAGAGCAAGUCCCAAGGGGCUAAGACCAGAACCAGAUGUCCUAGAGCCAAUUAGAAAACCAUGACGAUUAGAGCCUACAAGUAGGUGGCUUACUGAGUAUAAUUUUUAUACUCAUCCCAUUCUCUUUUUUUUUCUUAGGUGUUCGCAAGGUGCCGGUCGAGGUAGAGGAGCGCUCAAGAGCUGUGCGGUUACAGAGGGGGUCGUUCUAGAGUGUCAGUCCCCUUUCGGUGUUUUGGAGUCUUUUUUGUAAAUUCUCAUUUAUAAUUGCAUUUCCUUUUUUUGU